rnacentral:lncRNA from 1 species
AGAACCAGAAGAACUGUGUGGAGUGGCAGCAACUGGAGGAAGCAGAAUGUCCCCGAGCAAGAUUGUCAAGAGAAAAAAGUUACAUGUAUAAAAUCUACAGUAGAAUUGGAAGAUGGAUCUAAUGAGAAUAACACUAAGGAAACACCAUCCUUCAAAAACUAAAAGCUCCUUGAUGAGACAAGAAAAUGAAGUGUCCCAGAAGAGGAAAUGCAGCAAGUGAGACUGCCGAAGUCUUGAGCUGUCUGUCACCUUUCUGCCUGGUUUCUCAGCCCUACACCUGUUACAAAUUAGUAAAUGCCUCAAGGAGAAAACUGACUAGGACUAUUGGCAUUAUCAUGAUGCAGUUUUCUUCAAAAUCAUGGUUGCUCUUCAGAGCCUUCAAACAGCUGUUUUUGUUUUGGGUUUUUUUGUUUGGUUGGUUUUAUGCUGCAUUUAUAGAUGUCUAGGCACAAUGAUGGGCCUGCAUAAGCUACUCUACCAUUGCAAAAAUGCAAAAUCACAUUUCAUAAUGCAAUUUGCUGUUGGCAAAUUCGAUGUGAAUCUCAGGUCAUCAUUAUUGCCAAUCCUGUAAUUUUAAAUCUAUCCCCAUGAAAUUGAAUCUGAUUUGAUGUAAUCUAUCUCCACAAGAAUUUAUAGCUGGAAAGGACUUCAGAAUAUGUCCCUUUCUAAUCCCCCUCACUUUGCAAGUGACACAGCAAUUUAGCGACGAAGCUGAGAUUAGAACUCUGGCCCCCAGACACCCAGUCUAGUAUGUUUUCUUACACAAUGGUGCCUCAUGAAUAAUGCCAAAAGUGUAUCCUCAAAGUUUUGUACCUACAUCCUUGAAGAACUUCUUGGGCAGGCUUAAGCAUUUCUUAGUUGCAAUGGCUUGAUAAUAAAGUUACUCUUAAAGUUA